AACCUCCAGAGCACAAAGAUGAGAAACCUUGACAAAAGAGAUGGAAAUAGAAGGAGCACGCUGCAGACAGAUCCCACUUCAUCUUUACGGAUGCAAAGAAAUGUCACCUCCGUUCAUAUAUAACAAAGAAAAUAAUACCCAGGAUCUCGUUCUCCUUUGAGACUCUCUGAUUGAAAAUUAUCCCAGAGAAGGAAUUAGAACAGCACAGAAGCAAGAAUUCUAUCACGAAUCCUCCUGAAAGCUGACUUCCAGCAUGGGUGCCCUUUUCUUUGUAAUCCGUGCAUACCUCAGCAUUAGCUGUGAC
rnacentral:lncRNA from 1 species